UCGCUUGUAGCUCAGCUGGAUAGAGCCUUGUUUUCCGAAGACAAGAGUCGUGGGUUCGAAUCCCACCAAGCGAU
rnacentral:tRNA from 1 species